CGAUGAGGUAGAGGUCGCAGUUUUUAUCAGUAAGGCGGACGAGAUGCAGGGACAUCACUUGACUCCGUUUGAAAGGAAAAGCUGCCGAAGCGUGCUUGUUUCUCUGAUUAAGCAUGCUGGGGCUGUCUCCAAAUAGGAACAGAACUGUCACGAUUGGCCCUACCAGCCAUUCGUGUUGGGCUAUCUUUCGG
rnacentral:ncRNA from 2 species